UACAGAGGGUGCAAGCGUUGUUCGGAAUUACUGGGCGUAAAGGGCGCGUAGGCGGGUGGACAAGUCUCUCGUGAAAGCCCACGGCUCAACCGUGGAAUUGCGGGAGAUACUGUCUGUCUUGAGUCCGGGAGAGGAGGGUUGAAUUCCCAGUGUAGCGGUGAAAUGCGUAGAUAUUGGGAGGAACACCGGUGGCGAAGGCGGCUCUCUGGACCUGUACUGACGCUGAGGCGCGAAAGCUAGGGGAGCAAACGGG
rnacentral:rRNA from 1 species